rnacentral:rRNA from 1 species
GACGAACGCUGGCGGCGUGCCUAAUACAUGCAAGUCGAGCGCUGAAGGUUGGUACUUGUACCGACUGGAUGAGCAGCGAACGGGUGAGUAACGCGUGGGGAAUCUGCCUUUGAGCGGGGGACAACAUUUGGAAACGAAUGCUAAUACCGCAUAAAAACUUUAAACACAAGUUUUAAGUUUGAAAGAUGCAAUUGCAUCACUCAAAGAUGAUCCCGCGUUGUAUUAGCUAGUUGGUGAGGUAAAGGCUCACCAAGGCGAUGAUACAUAGCCGACCUGAGAGGGUGAUCGGCCACAUUGGGACUGAGACACGGCCCAAACUCCUACGGGAGGCAGCAGGAGGGAAUCUUCGGCAAUGGACGAAAGUCUGACCGAGCAACGCCGCGUGAGUGAAGAAGGGUUUCGGAUCGUAAAACUCUGUUGGUAGAGAAGAACGUUGGUGAGAGUGGAAAGCUCAUCAAGUGACGGUAACUACCCAGAGAGGGACGGCUAACUACGUG